rnacentral:rRNA from 1 species
GAUGAACGCUAGCUACAGGCUUAACACAUGCAAGUCGAGGGGCAGCAUGAGGUCAGCUUGCUGACUUUGAUGGCGACCGGCGCACGGGUGAGUAACGCGUAUCCAACCUGCCCAUGACUAAGGGAUAAUCCGUAGAAAUGCGGUCUAAUACCUUAUGUUAUCCGAGGAAGACAUCUGAUUCGGAUGAAAGAUUUAUCGGUCAUGGAUGGGGAUGCGUCCGAUUAGCUUGUUGGCGGGGUAACGGCCCACCAAGGCGACGAUCGGUAGGGGUUCUGAGAGGAAGGUCCCCCACAUUGGAACUGAGACACGGUCCAAACUCCUACGGGAGGCAGCAGUGAGGAAUAUUGGUCAAUGGACGAGAGUCUGAACCAGCCAAGUAGCGUGCAGGAUGACGGCCCUAUGGGUUGUAAACUGCUUUUAUACGGGGAUAAAAGAUGUCACGUGUGACAUUUUGCAGGUACCGUAUGAAUAAGGACCGGCUAAUUCCGUG